UGGGGAAUUUUGAACAAUGGGCGCAAGCCUGAUCCAGCCAUGCCGCGUGCGGGAAGAAGGCCUUCGGGUUGUAAACCGCUUUUGUCAGGGAAGAAAUCUUCUGAGUUAAUACCUCGGGAGGAUGACGGUACCUGAAGAAUAAGCACCGGCUAACUACGUGCCAGCAGCCGCGGUAAUACGUAGGGUGCAAGCGUUAAUCGGAAUUACUGGGCGUAAAGCGUGCGCAGGCGGUUUUGUAAGACAGAGGUGAAAUCCCCGGGCUCAACCUGGGGACUGCCUUUGUGACUGCAAGGCUUGAGUGCGGCAGAGGGGGGAUGGAAUUCCGCGUGUAGCAGUGAAAUGCGUAGAUAUGCGGAGGAACACCGAUGGCGAAGGCAAUCCCCUGGGCCUGCACUGACGCUCAUGCACGAAAGCGUGGGGAGCAAACAGGAUUAGAUACCCUGGUAGUCCACGCCCUAAACGAUGUCAACUGGUUGUUGGGAAGGUUCCUUCUCAGUAACGUAGCUAACGCGUGAAGUUGACCGCCUGGGGAGUACGGCCGCAAGGUUGAAACUCAAAUGAAUUGACGGGGUCAUAGCUGUUU
rnacentral:rRNA from 1 species